AGGCUUGGCCAUGUCACAUGAUGGACAUGAUAUAAUGAAAUAGCAGGAAAACAGAGACCGAGUGUACCCUGAGCUGAUAAAAAAAAAAUCUACGCACUCAUCUGCAAUAGCACCAUCGCAAUUGCCUCGGAGCAACUGGGGACCAAGUCGGGGACAGGGGCGGUCCAGAAUACGUCCCCAUCGGACGGGACAUGUCUGUCGAUUCGCGAUUGUACCUGCAGCUAUUAAGCACUUUUUGAAGGGAAAGUGCGUGUUUAUUCCAUCCAUCGAUCUGGGAGCGGAAUUGGUGCUCAUCUCACAGUUCCCAGUUCUCUUGAAUACACAACAAAAAACUUGCAACUGACUGCCUUUGGAACGAGCACAGAGUGCAGGAACGCGUAUCUCCAUCCCCUUUGCACAUAUGUGACAAGACCUAGACAGACCAAUGGCCAAUUGAUAGAUUGUAACAUUGCCCAGGCCAACUACAUUUUAUCAUUGUUUUUGAGUGUGUAUAAGAAAAGAGCAUAUCAGUCCAGUCUAAAUCUCUAUCCAUUCCAUUUAUCCACAAAAACUAGCCUAAGAGCCGAAACACAGGUGGCAUGAACUCUCCUCCUGUCACAGCAGAGCAGGCUGACUUCCCUCUGGACAGUAUAAGAAAAUAUGCUUUCCUAGAGAUGGGACUCUUUAACCCAGCACUAUUAGGAAACACAGCCAUAGCUGCAGGAAGUAGGGGUGCUGAGGGUGCUGCAGAGCCCUCCUAAAAAUUCAGAAUUAAAAAUAGAAGAAGAAUUAAAAAAUAAAAUAAAAAUAGCACAGCACCCUCAAACUACUUCCCGUGGCUAUGAACACAGCUAUGAAAAUGCUCUCAUGUCCUGUCCUGUCAGCAAAACUAGUAAGAUAGUAAUGUACACAUAGUUACAUGCCUUUUCCCACUACAGUUUGCCAUUUUUGCUCACAACUCCAUACAGGCUUAAGGCUGUACCUACUGCGGUCCAUUGUCCAUUUAUGACUUUAUCUGUUGAUUGAGUCAUUGCCAGCCUGAAUCACUUUACAUAAAAAGAGGAACCAUUGAAGGACGUGGUAAAUUUCACAGGAAUCAAGCCCUUUUUCGUGUAACACCUUGGGGUGUGUGCGUGUCUGUGUGCAUGUCUGUUUGUGUGUGUCACGCCCUGACCUUAGAGAGCCAUUUUAUUUCUCUAUUUGGUUAGGUCAGGGUGUGAUUUGGGGUGGUCAUUCUAUGUUGUUUGUUUAUAUGUUUUGGCCGGGUAUGGUUCUCAAUCAGGGACAGCUGUCUAUCGUUGUCUCUGAUUGGGAAUCAUACUUAGGCAGCCAUUUUUCCUUUUGGUAGUUGUGGGUAGUUGUCUUCGUUUGUGCAUGUAAAGACUUAACGGAGCUUCAUGUUAGUUUUUGUUGUAUUAUUGUUUGUUGGCGACAUUUGCAAAUAAAGAAAAAUGUACACUCACAA